UACAUAGGGGGCAAGCGUUGUCCGGAAUUAUUGGGCGUAAAGCGCGUGUAGGCGGCCAGAUAAGUCCGCUGUGAAAUCUCGAGGCUCAACUUCGAGCUGUCGGUGGAAACUGUCUGGCUAGAGUCCGGAAGAGGAGAAUGGAAUUCCUGGUGUAGCGGUGAAAUGCGCAGAUAUCAGGAAGAACACCCGUGGCGAAGGCGGUUCUCUGGGACGGUACUGACGCUGAGACGCGAAAGCGUGGGGAGCGAACAGG
rnacentral:rRNA from 1 species